GAUGAACGCUGGCGGCGUGCCUAACACAUGCAAGUCGAGCGAUUCUCUUCGGAGAAGAGCGGCGGACGGGUGAGUAACGCGUGGGUAACCUGCCCUGUACACACGGAUAACAUACCGAAAGGUAUGCUAAUACGAGAUAAUAUGCUUUUAUCGCAUGGUAGAAGUAUCAAAGUUUUUGCGGUACAGGAUGGACCCGCGUCUGAUUAGCUAGUUGGUAAGGUAACGGCUUACCAAGGCGACGAUCAGUAGCCGACCUGAGAGGGUGAUCGGCCACAUUGGAACUGAGACACGGUCCAAACUCCUACGGGAGGCAGCAGCGGGGAAUAUUGCACAAUGGGCGAAAGCCUGAUGCAGCAACGCCGCGUGAGCGAUGAAGG
rnacentral:rRNA from 1 species